rnacentral:snoRNA from 1 species
AUACCAUGGUGAGGGCACUUUUGUAAUAACUCCAUGAACCACUCCCAUGCCUCAUAUAAAGAUUCUUCUUCAAGUUGCAAAAAUGAAGUGAUUUCAUUUUGGAUCUU